CGGAGCUAAAUCGGGAUGGCGGGAGAGGAACAGCGGGAACAGCGGGAACAGCGGGAACAGCGGGAACAGCGGGAACAGCUGGAACAGUGGGGAAAGUGGGGAAAGUGAGGCUGGGAUAAAUCCCGGCUGCCUCCCUGGGACAGGGACAUUCCAUGGGGAUGGAUCCCGGCUGCUUCCCUAGAAUUGGGACAUUCCACAGGGAUGGAUCCCGACUGCUUCCCUGGGACAGGGACAUUCCACAGGGAUGGAUCCUGAGUGCCUCCCUGGAAUUGGGACAUUCCACUGGGAUGGGACAUUCCACAGGGAUGGGACAUUCCACUGGGAUGGAUCCCGGCUGCCUCCCUGGAAUUGGGACAUUCCACUGGGAUAAAUCCCAGCUUCCUCCCUGGGAUGGGGACAUAUCACAGGGAUGGAUCCCGGCUGUUUCCCUGGAAUUGGACAUUCCACUGGGAUGGGACAUUCCACUGGGAUGGAUCCUGAGUGCCUCCCUGGAACUGAGACAUUCAACUGGGAUGGGACAUUCCACUGGGAUGGAUCCCGGCUGCCUCCCUGGAAUUGGGACAUUCCACAGGGAUGGAUCCCAGAUGUUUCCCUGGAAUUGGGACAUUCCACAGGGAUGGAUCCCGGCUGCUUCCCUGGGAUUGGGACCUUCCACUGGGAUGGAUCCCGGCUGCCUCCCUGGGACCGGGACAUUCCAAUAUCCCACCGGGAUGAGCAGCAGGGAUUUGCAGGAUCAGUUUCCCAGCUGGAAUCUGGGGGCUGUUCCCUUUCCCACCCCAUUCCCGCUGCACCCAGAGAUCCCCGAAACCUGGGAAGUGACUCCACCAAAUAAAGACUUUGCCACAGCUGAGGAAAAUUCCCAAUUCCUGGAGCAGGUGCUGGUGGGAUGGAGGAAAAGCAAAUUCCUGGCUCAGGGAAUUCCCGACCUGCAGAGGGAUCCAACAUCCCAAGGGUGUGGAGCUGCUGGAGAGAGGCCGGAGGGGAGCACGGAGCUGCUCCGAGAGCUGGGAGAGCCGGGAAUGUUCCCCUGGAUCGGGGAAGGAUCCAGGGAAUCCUUGGAGCCGCUUCCCAAUCUCCAAGGGGCUCCAGGAGAGCUGAAAUUUGGGGAAGGGCUGGAGGGGCAGGAGGCAGGGAAUGGAAUUCCCAGUGGGAAAGGGGAGCUGGGGAUUUGGGGAUCUUGGGCAGGAAUUCCCGGCUGGGAGGAAGGGGAGAGGCUGGACUGGAAUUCCCAAGGAAGCUGUGGCUGCCCCUGGAUCCCUGGGAGUGUCCAAGGAAAGACUGG
rnacentral:lncRNA from 1 species